GCAUAUAAAAGGAAUACGUAUACGGGCUUGUAGUUAAUCCAACAUUUGCCUUCGAACGAAGUCUUCGUGAUCCACGUUCAGCCAUCAAGAUGAACCACUUUCUUGGGAUGGACCUCCUUGUGGCAAUAGCCAUCGCUAUCGCUGUUAUCAUCAUGGCCCCGCACGAAGCCGCCGCGGGUGCAGGAGGAGCAUCCUCGCAAAUCGGUGGUCUGGGAAAGAAGUGAAGUGCAGUGCAUCCGGAAGACAGCCAUUUG